AGCAGCCGCGGUAAUUCCAGCUCCAAUAGCGUAUAUUAAAGUUGUUGCAGUUAAAAAGCUCGUAGUUGAAUUUCGAGAUCAAAUUGUUGGUCGUGCCUCGGUACGUACUGGCAUUAUUGAUUUCUCCCUUCUGAAGAACCUUGAUGUCAUUAAUUUGGUGUCUUGGGGAAUCAGGACCGUUACUUUGAAAAAAUUAGAGUGUUUAAAGCAGGCUCACGCUUGAAUACAUUAGCAUAGGAAUAAUGAAAUAGGACGUUUGAUUCUAUUUUGUUGGUUUCUAGGAUCGACGUAAUGAUUAAUAGGGAUAGUUGGGGGCAUUAGUAUUCAAUUGUCAGAGGUGAAAUUCUUGGAUUUAUUGAAGACUAACUACUGCGAAAGCAUUUGCCAAGGAUGUUUUCAUUAAUCAAGAACGAAAGUUGGGGGAUCGAAGACGAUCAGAUACCGUCGUAGUCUUAACCAUAAACUAUGCCGACUAGGGAUCGGAUGAUGUUAAUUUUUAAUGACUCAUUCGGCGCCUUAA
rnacentral:rRNA from 1 species